rnacentral:rRNA from 1 species
UACGUGGAUAAACUGUGGGUAAUUCUAGAGCUAAUACAUGCACCAAAGCUCCGAUUAAUGACGAGCGCACCUAUUAGACUAAAACCGACCGGGGUUUCGGCCCGCUGUUUUGGGGACUCUGAAUAGCUAUAGUUGAUCGCAUGGUCUUUGUACCGGCGACGUGUCUAUCAAGUGUCUGCCUUAUCAACUUUCGAUGGUAGUUUAUGUGCCUACCAUGGUUGUUACGGGUAACGGAGAAUUAGGGUUCGACUCCGGAGAGGGAGCUUGAGAAAUGGCUACCACAUCCAAGGAAGGCAGCAGGCGCGCAAAUUACCCACUCUCGGCAAGAGGAGGUAGUGACGAGAAAUAACGAGACCGUUCUCAUUGAGGCCGGUUAUCGGAAUGAGUUGGAUCUAAAUGUCCUGACGAGGAUCUAUGAGAGGGCAAGUCUGGUGCCAGCAGCCGCGGUAAUUCCAGCUCUCAUAGUGUAUAUCGUUGCUGCUGCGGUUAAAAAGCUCGUAGUUGGAUCUGCGCUUGAGAACUUGGUCCACCAUUUUGGUGCUGAACUAAGUACAUCUCAGUGUUUACCGUUUCGCUGGUUUUCCUAGCGUUGCCUUUACCGGUCGCGUUAGGUGGCUAGCAAAGUUUACUUUGAAAAAAUUAGAGUGCUUAAAGCGGGCUAUUAAUGCUUGAAUAGUGGUGCAUGGAAUAAUAGAAUACGAUUACGGAUCUAUUUUGUUGGUUUUCUGAUCUGCAAUAAUGGUUAAGAGGGACAAACGGGG